GUCUUGACUGGCAGAACUUUUAAGAG
rnacentral:piRNA from 1 species